ACCCGCUGAACUUAAGCAUAUCAAUAAGCGGAGGAAAAGAAACUAACAAGGAUUCCCCUAGUAACGGCGAGUGAAGAGGGAAAAGCUCAAAUUUUGAAUCUGGUGUCUUUGACUCCCGAGUUGUAAUCUAGAGAAGUGUUUUCCGUGUCGGACCGUGUACAAGUUCCCUGGAACGGGGCGUCAUAGAGGGUGAGAAUCCCGUAU
rnacentral:rRNA from 1 species